AGUGAACGCUGGCGGCAGGCCUAAUACAUGCAAGUCGAACGGCAGCACAGCAGAGCUUGCUCUGUGGGUGGCGAGUGGCGGACGGGUGAGGAAUACGUGGGAAUCUGCCCAGUCGUGGGGGAUAACGUAGGGAAACUUACGCUAAUACCGCAUGCGCCCUUCGGGGGAAAGCCGGGGGACCUUCGGGGCCUGGCGCGAUUGGAUGAGCCCACGUCGGAUUAGCUAGUUGGCGGGGUAAAGGCCCACCAAGGCGACGAUCCGUAGCUGGUCUGAGAGGAUGAUCAGCCACACUGGAACUGAGACACGGUCCAGACUCCUACGGGAGGCAGCAGUAGGGAAUAUUGGACAAUGGGCGCAAGCCUGAUCCAGCCAUGCCGCGUGAGUGUAGAAGGCCCUCGGGUUGUAAAGCUCUUUUGUCCGGAAAGAAAGCGCCGGGUUAAUACCCGUGGUGUCCUGACGGUACCGGAAGAAUAAGCACCGGCUAACUUCGUGCCAGCAGCCGCGGUAA
rnacentral:rRNA from 1 species